rnacentral:lncRNA from 1 species
AAAGUGAUCAAGUUUUUAAACUUUUAUUGUUUUAAAUUAAGAACUUUUUGAACUAAAACUAGAACUGCCAUACUUAAUUUUUUUUUAACAUAAAACAUUUACAAGAUGAUAUCAAGGUGUUUUGUUUCGCACGGUAGGCACAUUACAGCACUCUGCUCUGUGAAUUUGCCAUCCUCCACUCGUGGAUGGUGUUCAUGUGAAGUUAGAGCAGAUUCCUUCAUUUCAUUCAUAUGGCUAUAGAUUUUUUUCCUUUUUCCAUUGCUUCUGAUCAGAUAUAGUUACUAUGAGUCCCUGAAAUGUAACGGAAAUGUGAAUAAAGACUUUACUACAUUGAAGAUUUUAAACAUUGGUAUUUUAAGAUAUCCUUUGUCAAUGUGAUAGAAAGUAGUAGUGGCGCAGUGUAAAUAUGCCAGGUGGUGGUUUGUGAAGUAGCCCAGUAUUGCCUUAAAUAAAAUCACAUUUCAGUUCUUCUUUUGUAUGUGAUCUUAUAAGAUUUUUUUUCCCUCCCACUUUCUGAGAUUUAUGGAUGGUGUAUAGCUUUAAACUGUAUAAACUUUUGUGGAAAGAAUUUUUUAGACAUUUUUAUAAAUUUUAAAAUUGGUAUCAUCCAAGUGAGCCCAUCUUGUGUUUAUAAAAUGCAAGAAUCCUUAACAUUUAUAGUUACAUAGAUGAAACACUUUCUAUAAGGAAGUAUUAUGUUUUGAUUUUACUAUUUAUAGGCAUUAGGUUGUGCAGAUUUGUCUGUCUUCACAUUAUCUAAUGAUACGAUUUUCAUUAGAUUAGUCUUCAAGAACAGUAUUAGUCAUGAUUGAUUAUUUGAUCAUUCAGUAACUAGUUCUUCUAGCUUAGCUUUCUUCACCGUUUCUGUGCUGGGAGGAAGUGAUUUCUGGAGCACUGACAGCCCUCAUGGAUAGCAGCACAGCUGAAAUCAGGACUGGAAACAAGGCAGCGUUCGGAUAUCGACUUUCAUGUUUGCCAUCAAUAGCAUUGUUUCUUUGGGGGUUUUUUGUUUGUUUGUUUUUCCUUUUGUUCGUUCGUUUGUUUUUUGAUAUGUUACAAAACAUCUGCGUUCACAGUGCUGCCCCGACCUGUGGUGGUGUGGUCACAUGGGUGUGUUCCCUGUUCUGCGUCAGAGUGGCAGAGAAUGAGGCACUAAGAUGCUGGUACUCUGAAUAAAUAAGCAUGGUGAAAGAAUGACCGUAAUUUCUUUUGGACACUUAAAAGUUUAAUUAUUAAAGUAAUACAGUUUUAUUUGGGGGGCCUAAUGGAUUGUGUUGAGUAGUUGGUUUCACUUUAAGGUUUCUUUUCAGUAUGCAUAAUACUUGACAUAUUAAAAUCCUUGGUAAGCCCACUGUUAUUUAUUAAUGUUAAAAUAAAGGUGGUUUUCAUGGUUGAUUUAUAUUUUUUCAACAACUG